rnacentral:tRNA from 1 species
GGGGAGUUAGCUCAGUUGGGAGAGCAUCUGCCUUACAAGCAGAGGGUCACAGGUUCGAGCCCUGUACUCCCCACCA